rnacentral:lncRNA from 1 species
UGGGGGGUUAUAAUGGCUUUGAUUUGUAAGAGGAGGUACUUGGUGAAAAUUUGGAGGCGCUUGGGAAUUUGUUCGGUUAUUUGGAGGAGUGGAUUGGAAAUGAGACUGAUUAUUUAGAUGUGGAAUUGGGUAUUGCGGAAAGAUAUUUGGCUGUGGAGCUUGGUAUUGAGGUGGGCAUAGAAUACAUGUUGAAGGCUCGGUGA